rnacentral:rRNA from 1 species
UACGAAGGGGGGCUAGCGUUGUUCGGAAUUACUGGGCGUAAAGCGCGUGUAGGCGGGUCUUUAAGUCAGGGGUGAAAUGCCAGGGCUCAACCUUGGAACUGCCUUUGAUACUGGGGACCUUGAGUCCGGGAGAGGUGAGUGGAAUUGCGAGUGUAGAGGUGAAAUUCGUAGAUAUUCGCAAGAACACCAGUGGCGAAGGCGGCUCACUGGCCCGGAACUGACGCUGAGACGCGAAAGCGUGGGGAGCAAAACAGG